AGAGUUGAUCAUGGCUCAGGAUGAACGCUAGCUACAGGCUUAACACAUGCAAGUCGAGGGGAAACGACAUCGAAAGCUUGCUUUUGAUGGGCGUCGACCGGCGUACGGGUGAGUAACGCGUAUCCAACCUGCCCACCACUUGGGGAUAACCUUGCGAAAGUAAGACUAAUACCCAAUGAUAUCUCUAGAAGACAUCUGAAAGAGAUUAAAGAUUUAUCGGUGAUGGAUGGGGAUGCGUCUGAUUAGCUUGUUGGCGGGGUAACGGCCCACCAAGGCGACGAUCAGUAGGGGUUCUGAGAGGAAGGCCCCCCACAUUGGAACUGAGACACGGUCCAAACUCCUACGGGAGGCAUCA
rnacentral:rRNA from 1 species